rnacentral:rRNA from 1 species
CCUACGGGAGGUAGCAGUGGGGAAUAUUGCACAAUGGGCGCAAGCCUGAUGCAGCCAUGCCGCGUGUGUGAAGAAGGCCUUCGGGUUGUAAAGCACUUUCAGCGGGGAGGAAGGCGUUAAGGUUAAUAACCUUGGCGAUUGACGUUACCCGCAGAAGAAGCACCGGCUAACUCCGUGCCAGCAGCCGCGGUAAUACGGAGGGUGCAAGCGUUAAUCGGAAUUACUGGGCGUAAAGCGCACGCAGGCGGUCUGUCAAGUCGGAUGUGAAAUCCCCGGGCUCAACCUGGGAACUGCAUUCGAAACUGGCAGGCUAGAGUCUUGUAGAGGGGGGUAGAAUUCCAGGUGUAGCGGUGAAAUGCGUAGAGAUCUGGAGGAAUACCGGUGGCGAAGGCGGCCCCCUGGACAAAGACUGACGCUCAGGUGCGAAAGCGUGGGGAGCAAACAGGAUAGAUACCCGAGUAGUC